AGGAACUUUGUGGGCGUGGCCUUAUAGAUGUUUGACAACAUGGCACAUGAGGCGCUCAGUGAUUGGCUGUGCUGGCUGUCAGUCACAGUGAUAUCUCCAGAAAUCUCUGUUCCCGGGCAAUUAUCUGCGCUGGGAUGAGUGUCUGUCAUGAACUCUUUGUCUCAGCUGAUGUCAGUUUCUGCACAAGUCUAUGGAGGGGUGUGUAUGGGAGAGAGAUAGGAGGAGGAGUGCCUUGGAACAUACCCAGGUUGUAGAGUGACAGAGAGAGCAAGUAUUACUAUGCGACAAGGCAGUCUGACUGCAACAUCGGACUACACAAGGUUUAUUUGUUGUCUUUUAUCACAGAAAAACAUGAGUCUGCAUAGUAGCUGUAGACGCUAAAUGGUACACAGCAGUAUUUCCAAUCAGUACGUAGAGCAGCGGUCCCUGGACAGGAUAUUUCACAACUCAACCACCCCCAUUAACUGUUGUAUUUUUUUAAAUCUAUAAAGACUGUAAACGUGAACCCCACACCAGUGAGAAAGAAGAAAAGGAUGGGAAUGCCCGGUACUGCCAUUGUUCAAGGAAAUACAAUUACCAGUGUGUACUUACAAGCUUUCCCCAUUGCCAUGACAGCACCACCGGAGAGGAAUACCAUACGUACGGAAUGACAGACUGAAGAACAGCCAAAAGAAAAGUGGAGAGUUACCAACGUCCAAUCUAUAGAAGACCAAGCGGCCACCCUGCAGAUUUGGUCAAUCUGGGCUCCUCUCAAGAAGAAGUAACGGUUCUGGUGGAACGAGGCUUAAGAAAGGCGAGAAGAUACAUAUGCCAAACCUUUGGCUUCUCUGAUCCUAGCCCUAUCUCCUUUGGGCCAGAUAUCUGAGCACAAGGGUUAUUAGACUUUCUAAGUCCUAUCCAACUGUACGAACACAUUUUUUGACAUUUAACAUAUGAAACUGGUGUUAUCGCUCAUUGGGUGGAUUAUUGCCGAAAUAUGGCAGAUCCAAAUCUGAGGACAUGUGGAGGCUGGAAACCAUCUUACGGAGGAUAUCUGGCCCAAAAGAGAUAGGGCUCGGAUCAAAAGCCAAAAGCUUGGCAUAAAAUAAUUCUGUCCUGAGGAAUCUGUAUGUAUUUCCCUGAGCUAUAGAGGCCAUUACCCAGACUAAGAGCGGAGGUAACUACCAGGAGAGACGUCUUUCACACCACAUUUCUUUCAGCUAGAGGAGGAAAGGCACAUACCAGCCUCCAUUUCCACUUGUGUGAUAGGGCAUGGACACAGAGAGUACAUGUUCUUUACCUGGCGGUUUUCUCUAGUUGUGAAGUCUGCUUGAGUUGACCCCCAUAGUGCUGACACUAGUGAAUACUGGUGUAUUUCAAGUCAUCCCUUUUUCCAAAAGCCAGAAAAGUGUCUAAAAAAACAUUCAGUAGAAGUGACACGCAGCAUACGCAAAUUAUGGCAGAAUUCUGGAGUGUGAGAUGGACGGGCAGAGUCACCUUUAGAGGGUUAAUACUAUAGAGGAUGAGAACUGUGAGAGCAGCUGACAGGGCAGUGGCAGGGACCACGUGGUCCUGGCAGCAACUGCAGGAAGUGUCCCUGUACUGUAUGUACUGUACAUGAUGCACGAGGAUAUAGUACACCGCCACGUUAUGACAGAGCCCGGGACAUCCCCUCACAACAACAACAAGGUGGGUGGGAUCUACCCAAAUGCUGACAAGUGAACCCUGCCCUACAUGACCAGAACGGCAUCACCAGGAUGACUCUCGCCCUGUCCUCUCCGAUCCGAUGAUCCCUGGAAGUCUUGUCAGACUUGACAUUUCUUCUGUGAAGCAGAGGGGGCGCUGUCUGCAGGGCCAGAGAACUGCCAGUAGCUUUCUGUAAUUUGAUGACUGGUUCGGGCAGGUAAUUCCUAGGGAUCCUGAAAGUUUUGCUGCUCUACGAGAGUAAGCAGCCCCCGGGACAGAAAUCUGACGUUAAAGGGGUACUCCUGUAGAAAACUUUUUUUUUUUUAAAUCAA